rnacentral:rRNA from 1 species
GAUGAACGCUGGCGGCGUGCCUAGUACAUGCAAGUCGAGCGAACGGACGAGAAGCUUGCUUCUCUGAUGUUAGCGGCGGACGGGUGAGUAACACGUGGAUAACCUACCUAUAAGACUGGGAUAACUUCGGGAAACCGGAGCUAAUACCGGAUGAUAUUUUGAACCGCAUGGUUCAAAAGUGAAAGACGGUCUUGCUGUCACUUAUAGAUGGAUCCGCGCUGCAUUAGCUAGUUGGUAAGGUAACGGCUUACCAAGGCAACGAUGCAUAGCCGACCUGAGAGGGUGAUCGGCCACACUGGAACUGAGACACGGUCCAGACUCCUACGGGAGGCAGAAGUAGGGAAUCUUCCGCAAUGGGCGAAAGCCUGACGGAGCAACGCCGCGUGAGUGAUGAAGGUCUUCGGAUCGUAAAACUCUGUUAUUAGGGAAGAACAUAUGUGUAAGUAACUGUGCACAUCUUGACGGUACCUAAUCAGAAAGCCACGGCUAACUACGUG